GGUGCCUAUAAGCAACCUCAAGGGAAUAUUCAAGAAUCCUUGGUGUGUUUAGAGAUUUAUUGCAGGAAGGCUGUAUGAUGUUCUUUCUCUGGUACUGACUUGUCAGUGCAAGACUAUCAAGAUCACAGCCAGGAGUCUUCCUGUUUCCAGCUCUGAUGCCGACUCCUGCAGUGUUCCACAGCAACCUGGAGCAGCAGCGACAGGGAUUGUCCAGCUCAGCACCUCAGCACAGAAAAACUCUUAAGGGACUGUAGCUGUCAAAUUGUGGUGAGGCACUGCUGGGCAUGAGCAAAGAGUGGUUCUCAUAAAAGGCUUAUCAUUGUGGCAGUUCAUCAGGGAGAUUACAAAAGGCUCAUCCCUGACACAGGGGUUAUUUUGCUGCCAAAUUUGAGACACUCACCCACAUAAGAAAUACAUAAGAGAAUCUCAAAUAAAUAAUUUUAGUAUUUUAAGCAGGUCACAAUAAUUCAAAAUAAAUGCAUUGAAAAGAAGGCA